UAGGGAGUCGGACCUGCCCAGUGAAAUUUUUUAACGGCCGCGGUACUCUGACCGUGCAAAGGUAGCAUAAUCAUUUGCCUUAUAAUUGGAGGCUAGUAUGAAUGGUUUGACAAGAAUAUAGCUGUCUCUUUAUAACUUUAUAGAAUUUUAUUUUAAAGUGAAGAAGCUUUAAUAUAAUUAAAAGACAAGAAGACCCUAUCGAGCUUUAAAAAAAUCUUUAGAAAUUAAUUAGUAAAUGAUCUUAAAAAAUUAGCUAUUGAACAUUUUGGUUGGGGCGACUAAGGAACAGAAAAAGCUUCCUUUAAAGAUUAUUAAUAACAUUCAUGUAUUGAUCCAGAAUUUUUGAUUAAAGAAUAUAGUUACCGUAGGGAUAACAGCAUUAUCUUUUUUGAGAGUUCUUAUCGAAAAAAAGGUUUGUGACCUCGAUGUUGGACCAGAAUAUCCUAAAGAUGCAGAAGUCUUUAAGGGUUGGUCUGUUCGACCAUU
rnacentral:rRNA from 1 species